UACGAGUUUGGUUGCAUUGCAUGAGUAAUAUGUUGCAUUUAAAAACCUAAGGUAGAACAGAAGAUGAUUGUAUAUAGUUAACAUGCUAUGUCUGCAUUGGAUAUAAUCGGUAGUUUAUUUUCAGCAUAGUUUCAUGAUGCCAUGCCAUGCGUUGAUUUAUAUGUUAAAUUAUGCCAUGUUUGAGAUGAUAUGAUAGGUUUUGCUAUUACCAGGUUAUAAUCUUGUUUUAUUAUGCCUUGUUGUUGCCAUGUUAGUAGAUGCUAUGAUUUUGUUCAUGCUUAGUUGAUUUUUAUCAUGCCAUGUUUAGUAAUGGAUAUGAGAUAGGUUGUUGCAUAUGCUCGGUUCUCGCUCUGUCUUCUGCUUGUUUGGAUGCUAUGUAUUUGGUUGUCUUGCAAGUACAUGCAAUGUACUGACCUGGUGUGCCAUGCCAGUUUUGUAGGUCAUACCCGUAUUGUUCGCUUGAUCCGUCGUGCUAGGCCGUAACCUUGCCAGUCCUGUGAGUUGUGGAGCCCAGCCAGAGUUGAUGAGCCGCCAAACCAAGACUUCCGCCGCCUUUUUAUAGACUCCCACUGUCAUUUAAUAGCCUUAGGGCUAUGUCAGAUAAUUGUAUUCAUCAAUGAUGUACUCUGAUGCACAUGUAUUUGAUGAAUAUUAUUGUACCUGGAAUGCUGUAUUAUGGACCUGUCAUGCGUCAGGUGUUAUCCUGGCUGACGUGUGAAGGCCCCCUGCUCCAUGCGGAUCGGGGUGCCACAGGACAUGGUAUCAGAGCAGCCAGGCUGGCAUAGGUUAUCCUAGUAUUAGAUCACCGCUACCAUUAACCAGUAAUGGCCCUAAGGGAUUCAACCCAUCCCUGCAUCCGGCAUGGCCACUGUUAAUCAACAGGUGGCGUAGUCAGGACCGACACGUCCUCACCCCGCUGUCCCCGCCUAGUCAUCCGUGGAACGAAUAGCAACCAUAUCCUUUCGGGUUGGCCACACCGCUCACCCUUCGCCAUUAAGGGAAAGGGGCCACACCAUGCAGGCAUGUCUCACAUAGCUGCCUAUAAAAGCCCCCUUUUCGCUCGCCGUAUCGCUCACCCCUCAGUCAACCAUGUCCCUGCAGAGAAGCCUAGCUAGUAGCACUCCAGCCAUGACUGGCACCUUCAAAGCUCCCAAGUUUCACAGCCGCACCGGUGCUGUCAACCACCCCGGCUUUCCACCCCUUCUUGCUGAGAUGCUCACCAAAGCCUUUGGCUGUAAGGCUAGCCCCGAUUACCUGGUGUUCCAAUCAUCACCCGUCCCUCACCUUCAUCGCUUCGAUGCAAGAGUGUGCAUCAGCCUAGCAGCGGAUGGCCAGCCGUUGGUUUUUCAGGGUAGAGCUAUGCCUACCUCUGAUUUAGCCAUUCAGGCCGCUGCUGUGGAGGCUAUGCUUCACCUCCGAACCAGGUACCCGCAUAUGGCAGCGAGGCGGGAUUUCUGCUUUUACCCCAUUGUGACAGAAGUAGGAAUGCUGCCUUCUCCCGCUAUCCAAGGAGAUGACCCCGCAAUCGCUCACCUGGUGCAGUAUAUCACCGCCCAGGGGAUGAUGAUUUCCUAGAUGCUUGCCGAGUUUAGAACUCUGGACAACGAUGCGGUGCGAGUCGUCAAGGAAGCUUACCACGAGGCUCGCAAAUUCGCAUCUCAAGUCAUUUGUCCAACGCCAUCCGAACCAGUGAUGUCCUCUCAACCCGUGUUGUGGCCUAGACCCAACAUCGUCACCCUCGACAAGGCUCUUUUACAGAUCCACCAGCAGCAUUUGCUCGGAUCAAUUUCAGCCACACCCCCAGCAGCCGAACCCCAACCCAUAGUAGUGUCGGAUGAUGAAGAUGGAGAUUGGCUCAGUCUUCGUCCUCCCGGAGAGCCCCAGCAAGGCAAAUCCUCUGCAUGACCUUAGUCAAGCAGUAAGAUGAUCAGUGUGUCGGUUCAUCCUAGGUAUGAGGGUAGAACUAUGUAUCCCUAGAUGAGUUGCUUCGUUUAGCGCGUAGCGUGUUCGUGUUCUGUUGUCUGCUGGUACUGUUGUAGUCCGUAUGCUGUGUUCUAUGUAUGUUUUUGUGCUUUUGUUUUUGUGUUGUUUUUGCUUGUCUCUCUGUCAAGCAGAAAUGUUUGACAGGGUUGACACUGUGUUGCUAACAAGAUUUUAAUUAGUAGAUCACAUACACUAAAUUAACUCUGACUCGUCUUGAGUCUAUAAUAAAAUGCGCACUGGUGUAGGUAUAUGUAUACCAGGAGUACAUAUACCCACUAGCAUUAACACACUCUAGUAUGAAUUGUCUGGUGUGUUUCUCCGUUGCAUGAUUAUUGCCUCUGUCUGUUUGCUAGUUUAGAUUUUUCUGCGUACUGCACGCAUACCCGGUUCACCCAUGAGUACAUUCGGGCAGUACUCGGGGAAAUGCAAAGUCACAUAUCCCUAUCUAUCUGUGCAUACGCCGUGUGACGGAUUUCCAACUCUAGAAACCCCGCAGAGGCAUUUCCGCUUGGAAAUUCCUCGUCUCUAAUUCUUUUUCCUGAUUUCAUUUCCGGAGAAACACUGCCAAUUUUAUUUCACUCGAUCUAGUACAUCUACCCCGAUACAGGUUUCACCCUUGAUUCUACCUCGACACCUACGUUUCAUGGAGGAAUCCGCGAAAUUUUUCUCGGUGCCCCCAACUCGUUUGAAAUUAACCCAGAGGUUUUUCUCCGCAGUUGUUAUUCUUUCGUUUGUGCUGUAACCCUAGGAAUCUCGAGGACGAGAUUUCUUUUUAAGGGGGAAGAGUUGUAACAGCCCCAAAAUUGGGUUAUCAAUUUUUGUGCUGUUAUUCUCUCCUGGCACUCAUUUUCAAAAUUUUCUCCUGAGUUUGCAGGAUGACCCUGGGAAAAUUUUGUCAUUUCCAACCUUUCAAAAUCCUGCUCAUGUCUUUUUCAGUGGGCAAGACCUCAUUUGCAUCAGCUCAAUUCCUCUUAAACCCUAAUUCCAAAUUUUUGGAAUUUGGAUAUGUCCUUUGUGCUUACAAAGGAGCCAUCAUUUUCUUUGAUCUGUUGAUCCUCUCAAUUGAUCCCAGAGACCAUUCUACCUUUCUGAACCUUGGAUAUGCAAAAAUAUUGCUAAGUCCCAUGUAAUAUUUUUGAAUUAUGGUUUAUUCCUUUUAUUGCCUUUCUGAGGAAUAAAAUCCAAAGGCAUAGCUAGCCAUCUCCUAAAUUCAUGAGUAUUGGUGGAGUUGAUACUUAUGCCUAAUCCAAGCUCUCGCAAGUAUAUUGGCCAUAAUUAAAUAAGGAAAAUUGCCUUUUCCUAUUUAAUGCCAAUAUUGCAUUUCUGCCAUUUUCCAAAGAAACUACAAUUUUUAUAGCAGAGAAAAUUCCCACCUAAAUUGUGGAGCUUGUCCUUGCUAUAUAAUCACUAGUUCCAUCCUCAUCUCAUGUUCCUCAGUUCAAAAAUUGGGCACAUGAUCCAAUGCAAGUUUCUGCCUUCUCUAAAAUUUUGCAAAGGAAGUGAUUUAUUCCUAAAUCCAAUUGAUCUGGAAUUUGGAAGGGUGUUUAACAUUGGUAAAUCACCCAUGGAUACCAAAGAUAAGCUCAAUCCAUUUAUCCUAGCUCCCUGUGCAAUUUUUCAAAGUUUCUGACCAGAAUACAACUUUGUGAAGGAAGUACCUUCAUAGGGUUCCAAAAUGGGAUGAAAAUUUUCCCUCCUCUCCUAUAUUUCAAAUCAUUAGCCUCCACCAAAAUUCAGGUCAUUUCAUUGAACUAUGUGAGCAUAGGAGCAAUUCUUGUUUUCUGUCCAAAUUUUCAGUUUGUGAAGCAAGUGUUUUUUAUCUUGCUCCAUUAUGGCUGAUAAUUUUUCCAGGCCUUCUCCUACUCAUAUAACAUAUUGCCACAAGAUUGUGGCUCAUUUCACUUGACCAAUUGCCCUGAAGAUUUUUCUGAAGUUUUUGGACAAAAAUGAUAGCUGUGAAGGAAGUACCAUUUUGGUGAGUCCAUUUGGUAUGAACUUUUUACAGCAUCAUGGUAUGUUCAAAUCAUCAGGCUUUGCGAAGUUAUAGCCCAAUCCAUCACCCCUAGUGAGUGUUUCAUCAUGAUUAAGUGUCUGGGUCAGUUUUGGUGGUUGUACAACAACUAUGGUAAAUAGUUGUCCAUUUUACCUCAAAACUACCAGGACCGUAGUCCUUUCUACCCCAAGCCUCCCGGACAUCAAGUUUACCAUUUACCCUCUCUGGUUUAAUCUCUAGGAUGUUGCCAAGUUUGCAACAGCAAAUUUGUGGAGCUUGUUUCACUCAUCUCCAUUUGUCUCUGCCCGAUCUUUCACCAUGGUAACACUCCACGCUGGAAGGACUAUGCGGUAGACAUGAACUUACAUCAGUAAAACCCCCAGAGCGCGCCAUGCCAGUGGUGACUAUGAGGGUAGACAGCCAAAACGGUGGUCUAGCCACUGUUGUCGUCGGCAGCGCUGCUCCGGCCGCCUCUGGGCUCGCCAUUAAUGUCCAGUAGCCCCCCCUCGUCAUCGUCUUCCCUCUGGACCGCUGCCCCCCUUCGUUUUCUUCUCCGGCGAGCCGUGCCAACGACCGAGCAGUGCGCGCCCGUGAGCUCGUCGUCUUCCUCGCCUCUGUCCGCUUCCUCCUUUCGUCCCCGAGCGCCUCUCGUCUCCGUGAGCCUCUGCUGCUCGUCUUGACCCUCCUCGUCGCCUUCCCAUGCGCCUCCAUGACUGCUGCGGCUGGCAGAGCCAUGGACGGACGCGCUCGGCGGUGCUCGGCUCGGCCACCCCUCGCCCCGGCUAUAAAAGGAGCCCGCGACCCCCUCGAGCUCUUCAUCAGCUUCCUCACCCUCCUCUACGCCUCCCCAACCCCUCCUCUCGUCCCCGGUGUCACUCCUCCACUUCCAUCGCCGCCGUGGUCGCCGCCUCGGGUCCCUCUCGAUUCCGGCGAUCCCGCGCGCUCCUUGCCAUUUAGACUAAACCAGAGCCUCGCCCGGAGUCCGUCAAGCCUCCCCGUCGCCUCGCCCGACCGUUUUCCCCACCGGAGCCCCUAGUUCACCGGAGGCCGAAGCCCCUCUCCACCGCGGGCUGUGUGACUCCCUCUCCCAUGCUCGUCGCCGGCAACGGAGACCACCACGGGAUGCGCCUCCUCCUCCUGAUGAAGGAAAUAUGCCCUAGAGGCAAUAAUAAAGUAUUAUAUAUUUCCUUAUAUCAUGAUAAAUGUUUAUUAUUCAUGCUAGAAUUUUAUUAACCGGAAACAUAAUACAUGUGUGAAUACAUAGACAAACAGAGUGUCACUAGUAUGCCUCUACUUGACUAGCUCGUUAAUCAAAGAUGGUUAUGUUUCCUAGCCAUAGACAUGAGUUGUCAUUUUAUUAACAGGACCACCUCAUUAGGAGAAUGACGUGAUUGACUUGACCCAUUCCGUUAGCUUAGCACCCGAUCGUUUAGUAUGUUGCUAUUGCUUUCUUCAUGACUUAUACAUGUUCCUAUGACUAUGAGAUUAUGCAACUCCCGUUUACCGGAGGAACACUUUGUGUGCUACCAAACAUCACAACGUAAAUGGGUGAUUAUAAAGGUGCUCUACAGGUGUCUCCAAAGGUACUUGUUGGGUUGGCGUAUUUCGAGAUUAGGAUUUGUCACUCCGAUUGUCGGAGAGGUAUCUCUGGGCCCACUCGGUAAUGCACAUCACUAUAAGCCUUGCAAGCAUUGUGACUAAUGAGUUAGUUGCGGGAUGAUGUAUUACGGAACGAGUAAAGAGACUUGCCGGUAAUGAGAUUGAACUAGGUAUCAAGAUACCGACGAUCGAAUCUCGAGCAAGUAACAUACCGAUGACAAAGGGAACAACGUAUGUUGUUAUGCGGUCUGACCGAUAAAGAUCUUCGUAGAAUAUGUGGGAGCCAAUAUGGGCAUCCAGGUCCCGCUAUUGGUAAUUGACCGGAGAGGUGUCUCGGUCAUGUCUACAUAGUUCUCAAACCCGUGGGGUCCGCACGCUUAACGUUACGAUGACAGUUUUAUUAUGAGUUUAUGUAUGUUGAUGUACCGAAGGAGUUCGGAGUCCUGGAUGAGAUCGGGGACAUGACGAGGGGUCUCGAAAUGGCCGAGAUGUAAAGAUCGAUAUAUUGGCCGAUUAUAUUCGGACUUCAGAAAGGUUCCGAGUGAUUCGGGUAUUUUUCGGAGUACUGGAGAGUUACGGGAAUUCGUAUUGGGCCUUUAUGGGCCAGAAAGGAGAUAAAGACCCCAAAGGGUGGCCGCACCCCUCCCCAUGGGCUAGUCCGAAUUGGACUAGGGAGGGGGGCACUCCCUUCCUUCUUUCUCCUUCCCCCUUCCCUUCUCCUACUCCCACAAGGAAAGGAGGAGUCCUACUCCCGGUGGGAGUAGGACUCCCGCCUUGGGCGCGCCACCUCCCCUUGGCCGGCCCUCUCCCCCUUGCUCCUUUAUAUACGGGGGCAGGGGGCACCCCAUGGACACACUUGAUAUACGAUAUUUUAGCCUUGUGCGGUGCCCCCUCCACCAUAUUACACCUCGAUAAUACCGUUGCGAAGCUUAGGCGAAGACCUGCGUCGGUGGAACAUCAUCAUCGUCACCACGCCGUUGUGCUGACGAAACUCUCCCUCAACACUCGGCUGGAUCAGAGUUCGAGGGACGUCAUCAAGCUGAACGUGUGUAGAACUCGGAGGUGUUGUGCGUUCGGUACUUGAUCGGUCGGAUCGUGAAGACGUACGACUACAUCAACCGCGUUGUGAUACCGCUUCCGCUGUCGGUCUACGAGGGUACGUGGACAACACUCUCCCCUCUCGUUGCUAUGCAUCACCAUGAUCUUGCGUGUGCGUAGGAAUUUUUUUGAAAUUACUACGUUCCCCAACAGUGGCAUCCGAGCCUGGUUUUAUGCGUUGAUGCUAUGCACGAGUAGAACACAAGUGAGUUGUGGGCGAUAUAAGUCAUACUGCUUACCAGCAUGUCAUACUUUGGUUCAGCGGUAUUGUGAGAUGAAGCGGCCCGGACCAACAUUACGCGUACGCUUACGCGAGACUGGUUUCACCGUUGCGAGCACUCGUUGCUUAAAGGUGACCGGCGGGUGUCUGUCUCUCUCACUUUAGUUGAACCGAGUGUGGCUACGCCCGGUCCUUGCGAAGGUUAAAACAGCAUCAACUUGACAAGCUAUCGUUGUGGUUUUGAUGCGUAGGUAAGAACGGUUCUUGCUAAGCCCGUAGCAGCCACGUAAAACUUGCAACAACAAAGUAGAGGACGUCUAACUUGUUUUUGCAGGGCAUGUUGUGAUGUGAUAUGGUCAAGACAUGAUGUGAUAUAAUUUGUUGUAUGAGAUGAUCAUGUUUUGUAACCGAGUUAUCGGCAACUGGCAGGAGCCAUAUGGUUGUCGCUUUAUUGUAUGAAAUGCAAUCGCCAUGUAAUAGUUUUACUUUAUCACUAAGCGGUAGCGAUAGUCGUAAAAGCAAUAAGUUGGCGAGACGACAACUAUACUACGAUGGAGAUCAAGGUGUCGCGCCGGUGACGAUGGUGAUCAUGUCGGUGCUUCGGAGAUGGAGAUCACAAGCACGGUGCUUCGGAGAUGGAGAUCACAAGCACAAGAUGAUGAUGGCCAUAUCAUAUCACUUAUAUUGAUUGCACGUGAUGUUAAUCCUUUAUGCAUCUUAUCUUGCUUUGAUUGACGGUAGCAUUAUAAGAUGAUCUCUCAGUAAAAUUUCAAGAUAAAGUGUUCUCCCUGAGUAUGCACCAUUGCGAAAGUUCUUCAUGCUGAGACACCACGUGUUAAUCGGGUGUGAUAGGCUCUACGUUCAAAUACAACGGGUGCAAAACAGUUGCACACGCAGAAUACUCAGGUUAAACUUGACGAGCCUAGCAUAUACAGAUAUGGCCUCGGAACACAGAGACCGAAAGGUCGAGCGUGAAUCAUAUAGUAGAUAUGAUCAACAUAGUGAUGUUCACCAUUGAAACUACUCCAUCUCACGUGUUAAUCGGACAUGGUUUAGUUGAUUUGGAUCACGUAAUCACUUAGAUCAUUAGAGGGAUGUCUAUCUAAGUGGGAGUUUUAAGUAAUAUGAUUAAUUGAACUUAAAUUUAUCAUGAACUUAGUCCUGAUAGUAUUUUGCAAAUUAUGUUGUAGAUUAAUAGCUCGCGUUGUUGCUUCCCUCUGUUUAUUUUUGAUAUGUUCCGAGAGAAAAAUUAUGUUGAAAGAUGUUAGUAGCAAAGAUGCGGAUUGGAUCCGUGAUCUGAGGAUUAUCCUCAUUGCUGCACAGAAAAAUUAUGUCCUUGAUGCACCGCUAGGUGACAGACCUAUUGCAGGAGUAGAUGUAGACGUUAUGAACGUUUGGCUAGCUGAAUAUGAUGACUACUUCAUAGUUUAGUGCACCAUGCUUAACGGCUUAGAAUCGGGACUUCAAAGACGUUUUGAACAUCCUGGACCAUAUGAGAUUUUCCAGGAGUUGAAGUUAAUAUUUCAAGCAAAUACCCGAGUUGAGAGAUAUGAAGUCUCCAACAAGUUCUAUAGCUAAAAGAUGGAGGAGAAUCGCUCAACUAGUGAGCAUGUGGUCAGAUUGUCUGGGUACUACAAUCGCUUGAAUCAAGUGGGAGUUAAUCUUCCAGAUAAAAUAGUGAUUGACAGAAUUCUCUAGUCACCAUCACCAAGUUAGUAGAACUUCGUGAUGAACUAUAGUAUGCAAGGGAUGACGAAAGUAAUUCCCGCGCUCUUCGUGAUGCUGAAAUCGACGAAGGUAGAAAUCAAGAAAAACAUCAAGUGUUGAUGGUUGACGAGACCACUAGUUUCAAGAAAAGGGCAAAGGGAAGAAGGGGAACUUCAAGAAGAACGGCAAGCAAGUUGCUGCUCAAGUGAAGAAGCCUAAGUCUGGUCCUAAGCCUGAGACUAAGUGCUUCUACUACAAAGGGACUGGUCACUGGAAGCGGAACUAACCCAACUAUUUGGUGGAUAAGAAGGAUGGCAAAGUGAACAAAGGUAUAUUGGAUAUACAUGUUAUUGAUGUGUACUUUACAAGUGUUUAUAGCAACCCCUCGGUAUUUGAUACUGGUUCAGUUGCUAAGAGUAGUAACUCGAAACGGGAGUUGCAGAAUAAACAGAGACUAGUAAAAAGGCGAGGUGACGAUGUGUGUUAGAAGUAGUUCCAAGAUUGAUAUGAUCAUCAUCGCACACUCCCUGUACUUUCGGGAUUAGUGUUGAAACUAAAUAAGUGUUAUUUGGUGUUUGCGUUGAGCAUGAAUAUGAUUUGAUCAUGUUUAUUGCAAUACGGUUAUUCAUUUAAGUUAGAGAACAAUUGUUGUUGUGUUUACAUGAAUAAAAACCUUCUAUGGUCAUACACACCAACGAAAAUGGUUUGUUGGAUCUCGAUCGUAGUGAUACACAUAUUCAUAAUAUUAAGGCCAAAAGAUGCAAAGUUAAUAAUGAUAGUGCAACUUAUUUGUGGCACUGGCGUUUAGGUCAUAUUGGUGUAAAGAGCAUGAAGAAACUCCAUACUGAUGGGAUUUUGGAAUCACUUGAUUAUGAAUCACUUGAUGCUUGCGAACCGUGCCUCAUGGGCAAGAUGACUAAAAACACCAUUCCCCGGAACUAUGGAGAGAGCAACAGAUUUGUUGGAAAUCAUACAUACAGAUGUAUGUGGUCCGAUGAAUAUUGAGGCUCGUAGCAGGUAUCAUUAUUUUCUGACCUUCACAGAUGAUUUGAGCAGAUAUGGGUAUAUCUACUUGAUGAAACAUAAGUCUGAAGCAUUUGAAAAGUUCAAAGAAUUUCAGAGUGAAGUAGAAAAUCAUCGUGACGAGAAAAUAAGGUUUCUAUGAUUUGAUCGCGGAGACAAAUAUUUGAGUUAUGAGUUUGGUCUUCAAUUAAAACAAUGUGGAAUAGUUUCACAAAUUCACGCCACCUGGAACACCACGGUGUAAUGGUGUGUCCGAACAUCGUAACCGUACUUUAUUAGAUAUGGUGCGAUAUAUGAUGUCUCUUACCGAUCUACCACUAUCGUUUUGGGGUUAUGCAUUAGAGACAGCUGCAUUCACGUUAAAUAGGGCACCAUCAAAAUCCGUUAAGACGGCGCCUAAUGAACUGUGGUUUAGCAAGAAACCAAAGUUGUCGUUUCUUAAAAAUUUGGGGUUGCGAUGCUUAUGUGAAAAGGUUUCAUCCUGAUAAUCUCAAACCCAAAUCGGAGAAAUGUGUCUGCAUAGGAUACCCAAAGGAGACAGUUGGGUACACCUUCUAUCACAGAUCCGAAGGCAAGACAUUCGUUGCUAAGAAUGAAUCCUUUCUAGAGAAGGAGUUUCUCUCGAAAGAAGUGAGUGGGAGAAAAGUAGAACUUGAUGAGGUAAUUGUACCUGCUCCCUUAUUGGAAAGUAGUUCAUCACAGAAAUCUGUUCCUGUGACUCCUACACCAAUUAGUGAGAAAGUUAAUGAUGAUGAUCAUGUAACUUCAGAUCAAGUUACUACCAAACCUCGUAGGUAAACCAGAGUAAGAUCCGCACCAGAGUGGUACGGUAAUCCUGUUCUGGAGGUUAUGUGACUAGACCAUGACGAACCUACGAACUAUGAAGAAGCGAUGGUGAGCCCAGAUUCCACAAAAUGGCUUGAGGCCAUGAAAUCUGAGAUGAGACCCAUGUAUGAGAACAAAGUGUGGACUUUGGUUGACUUGCCCGAUGAUCGGCAAGCAAUUGAGAAUAAAUGGAUCUUCAAGAGGAAGACGGACGCUGAUAGUAGUGUUACUAUCUACAAAGCUAGAAUUGUCGCAAAAAGGUUUUUCGACAAGUUCAAAGUGUUGACUACGAUGAGAGUUUCUCACUCGUAUCUAUGCUUAAGUCUGUCCGAAUCAUGUUAGCAAUUGCCGCAUUUUAUGAAAUAUGGCAAAUGGAUAAACAAAACUGCAUUCCUUAAUGGAUUUAUUAAAGAAGAGUUGUAUAUGAUGCAACCAGGAAGUUUUGUCAAUCCUAAAAGUGCUAACAAAAUAUGCAAGCUCCAGCGAUCCAUCUAUGGACUGGUGCAAGUAUCUCGGAGUUGGAAUAUACGCUUUGAUAAGUUGAUCAAAGGAUAUAGUUUUAUACAGACUUGCGGUGAAGCCUGUAUUUACAAGAAAGUGAGUGGGAGCACUACAACAUUUCUGAUAAGUAUAUGUGAAUGACAUAUUGUUGAUCGGAAAUAAUGUAGAAAUAUUCUGCAAAGCAUAAAUGAGUGUUUGAAAGGAGUUUUUCAAAGAAAUACCUCGGUGAAGCUGCUUGCAUAUUGAGCAUCAAGAUCUAUAGAGAUAGAUCAAGACGCUUGAUAAGUUUUUUCAAUGAGUACAUACCUUAGCAAGAUUUUGAAGUAGUUUAAAAUGGAACAGUCAAAGAAAGAGUUUCUUGCCUGUGUUACAAGGUGUGAAAUUGAGUAAGACUCAAAGCCCGACCAUGGCAGAAGAUACGAAAAGAAUGAAAGUCAUUCCCUAUGCCUCGGCCAUAGGUUCUAUAAAGUAUGCCAUGCUGUGUACCAGAUCUAUUGUAUACCCUACACCGUUGGCAAGGGAGUACAAUAGUGAUCUAGGAGUAGAUCACUGGACAGCGGUCAAAAUUAUCCUUAGUGGAAUAAGGAUAUGUUUCUCGAUUAUGGAAGUGACAAAAGGUUCGUCGUAAAGAGUUACGUCGAUGCAAGUUUUGACACCAAUCUAGAUGACUCUAAGUCUCGGUCUAGAUACAUAUUGAAAGUGGGAGCAAUUAGCUAGAGUAGCUCCGAGCAGAGCAUUGUAAACAUAGAAAUUUACAAAAUACUUACGGAUCUGAAUGUGACAGACCCGUUGACUAAAAUUAUCUCACAAUCAAAACAUGAUCACACCUUAGUACUCUUUGGGUGUUAAUCACAUAGCGAUGUGAACUAGAUUAUUGACUCUAGUAAACCCUUUGAGUGUUAGUCACAUAGAGAUGUGAACUAUGGGUGUUAGUCACAUGGUGAUGUGAAUUAUUGAUGUUAAAUCACAUGGCGAUGUGAACUAGAUUAUUGACUCUAGUGCAAGUGGGAGACUGAAGGAAAUAUGCCCUAGAGGCAAUAAUAAAGUAUUAUAUAUUUCCUUAUAUCAUGAUAAAUGUUUAUUAUUCAUGCUAGAAUUUUAUUAACCGGCAACAUAAUACAUGUGUGAGUACAUAGACAAACAGAGUGUCACUAGUAUGCCUCUACUUGACUAGCUCGUUAAUCAAAGAUGGUUAUGUUUCCUCGCCAUAGACAUGAGUUGUCAUUUGAUUAACGGGAUCACCUCAUUAGGAGAAUGACGUGAUUGACUUGACCCAUUCCGUUAGCUUAGCACCCGAUCGUUUAGUAUGUUGCUAUUGCUUUCUUCAUGACUUAUACAUGUUCCUAUGACAAUGAGAUUAUGCAACUCCCGUUUACCGGAGGAACACUUUGUGUGCUACCAAACGUCACAACGUAAAUGGGUGAUUAUAAAGGUGCUCUACAGGUGUCUCCAAAGGUACUUGUUGGGUUGGCGUAUUUCGAGAUUACGAUUUGUCACUCCGAUUGUCGGAGAGGUAUCUCUGGGCCCACUCGGUAAUGCACAUCACUAUAAGCCUUGCAAGCAUUGUGACUAAUGAGUUAGUUGCGGGAUGAUGUAUUACGGAACGAGUAAAGAGACUUGCCGGUAACGAGAUUGAACUAGGUAUCGAGAUACCGACGAUCGAAUCUCGAGCAAGUAACAUACCGAUGACAAAGGGAACAACGUAUGUUGUUAUGCGGUCUGACCGAUAAAGAUCUUCAUAGAAUAUGUGGGAGCCAAUAUGGGCAUCCAGGUCCCGCUAUUGGUUAUUGACCAGAGAGGUGUCUCGGUCAUGUGUACAUAGUUCUCGAACCCGUAGGGUCCGCACGCUUAACGUUACGAUGAAAGUUUUAUUAUGAGUUUAUGUAUGUUGAUGUACCGAAGGAGUUCGGAGUCCCGGAUGAGAUCGGGGACAUGACGAGGAGUCUCGAAAUGGCCGAGACGUAAAGAUUGAUAUAUUGGACGACUAUAUUCGAACUUCGGAAAGGUUCCGAGUGAUUCGGGUAUUUUUCGGAGUACCGGAGAGUUACUGUGACACCCAAAAUUUUAUUUGGAUUUUUCAAAAAAUUUACUUGACUUGAGGGAGGUGUUUUAAAAAAAUUUCUUCAAAAGAACCCUCCCUUUCAAAAUAUUUUUUUAUGGCAAGAGUUUUAUUUGGAUUCACCCAAGACUUUUUUUAGUCUUGGAGGUUCUUGCUUUUUAUUUUUGACUCAAGCCAAAAUGCUUUUCACUUGGGAAAAAUGCCUUUUGAAAAUCUCUUUGAAAAUGCACUAUGGCUUUUGGAAUAAUCCUUUACCACUUUCAACAAAUCCCUCUUGCCAUGGCCUUAGUGCAAAUUCACUCUCCUAAACCUUCCCUCAUCUUUGGAUCAUGAUUUGCAUCAAAUCCAGCAAGUUGGACCUCCCUACAUGAUUAUUUUCCAUUUAAUCUUGUCAAAACAUUUUCUGCCCUCUAUUCUAGCCCUUGGAGGUUUACAAAGGAACUACUCUUUCUGCUUUGAUUUUGCCCCCAAACCUUUUUCCCUUCCUAGUCCUUUGAACCCUCAACCAAGAUCCAUGAAGAUCCUCUGGUCUUCAGUUCAAAUUUUUCAAACUAUACUUGCUGCAAGUUUGGACCAGAUUUGUCAAAUUUGAUGAAAUUCAUUCAAAUCCCUCUCCAAAAUUUUUGAGAAAAAUCAGGCAGCCUCUGGGUGCAUUGAGAGGUCACCUCACCAAGUCCCAGCCCCAGGAAAAAUUUUCUUCACGCCAAAUCAUUCUGUCAAACACCUGCAGAGCAUUGUCAAUGUCAAGUUCAGAGAUUCAGAAAUGCAGUUCAGUAACCUACUGUCGUUUUCUUCAGAACCUGUUGUCGAUCUCGACAGUGCCGCGUUGGCGCCUUGCUCCCCGUCCCCUCCCCCUUGUUCCUGCACCGCAGGAGCGCCUGGAUGGUUGCGGGCAUCAGCGACGUGCUGGAGGAGGUGCGCCGCCCCAUGACUGACGCCAGCGGCGGCUUUGCGGCCGCCAGAGAGAGGCGCAGCGUAGACGGCGCCACCCAGCGCCGCCCAAGCCACCGGAGGCCGCCGCGUGGCCACCCACUCCCCCGUGCGCGCUGCCACUCUCGUCGUGAACCGCUGGGCGCGGAGCGCGCUCUCUUCCGUCGUCGUGCCCAUGCGGCCACCCCACCGUGGACCGGCGCCAUUACGCCAAGACCGACCAGGAUUAGCAGGGGAACAGCACCAGUACACCUCACUGAUAAUGCCUGACCACUUAAGCUCCCUGCCAAGACACUGCCUCGCCGUAAUUGCUCGCCGGAGCAACCCCGUUCACAGCCACCCCCUCGAUCCGCCUAUAAAUAGAGGCCCCGAGCUUCAACUCGAGCCCACACCACCUCUGCACUCCACCAAGACCCUGCCUAGCCACUGGAAGCGCCCCGAGGAAGCCUCCUUCCUCAACUCCGGCCGCCGCGACCCGCCACGGGAUCCAGCUCGAUUCGCUCCCGUGCGUGCACCUCUGCCUCCCAUCUCUUUCCAAUAGCUCUCUAGUGCAUCCCUCCUUCUGACCCGCACUUCAAUUCGAAGUUUGCAGCACACCACCGGAGUUCUCCACCAUCACCCGAGCCGCCGUCCGCCGGAGAAAGUGUCGCCGUCGACGUGGUGCUCUCCGUCGGUCGAGUCCACCACCCACCGACGCGGAAGGACACGCUGAAGCUCUUGGUACACUCCGAUCUCCCUGUCUCGCCGUGGUUCGACGCCGGCGACCACCGCAGUCUUCGGGCGCCGGCGAGCUUUUUAAACCUGACAUGUGGACCCCCCUGUCAGCCUCUAUUCUUUUCUCCCUCGAAACGUUUUCUGUUGGCGCCUUCGGGCAAAUACGUCUUCCCUUUGAGCUGGCGCGUUUCUUUCCGAAGCAUUUUCUGUUUUCUCAGUUAAGCCCCUGGAACUUUUCUGUUUCAUUACAGAUGAGUCCCUGGACAGAAACCUUUAUAACUUUUUAAUAAAAAGUGAUUUUUGAGUGAUUCUUUUUCUGAAAGUCUUAAAAUUUUGUCUAGUUUUUUAUGGGAUUUAUUUGGAAAAAAAUUUGGAACAACUUUUAUGCACGCGUUGGUUUUCACGUUAGUAUGCAUUUUUCGCUAUACCGUAGGUUCCGGGAGAGGUGACGGAGCCGCGAACUUCGCCGAGCUAGACUCCGACUUCUCCGAACCAGGCAAGCAUGUUUGAACCUUUGAUAUGAUAGGUGUUUUGCAUGUUUACGUGAGAGGUUGUGCGUGACAUAUGAGUGUCGGUGAGUACCUCGUUGCUUGUAAGGCAACUACCCGCGUGUUCCAAAGUUGCGAUGAUCUCUGAUGAGAGAUGGCCUAAUCAUGUGGUCACAUGAAGGGCAGCAAGGUGGUACUGUUGUAGCAUGCCAUCCUUGCGUCAUCUGACAAAUUCCGACGUUAACGUGGACGGAGUCACGUUAUCGUUCUUUUCCCUUCCGUACUACCACAUGUUUCUUUUGCCAGGAUGCGGUUUAGUAAGUUUGGUAACCUCUUUCCGUGUACACACCAAACAGAGGGGCCGGGAUGAUGGUUCCAUGGCCCUGGAUUAAAGCCAGUCAUCCGGUCAGGGGGCAUGGGUGUUUCCGGUUGGGACCGAGAGGGGGGGCACCCCCUUAGAGCGCGCGUAUAGAAAUUUGAUCCCAUGCUACGCGAGGUUGUAGCCUCCCCGUCUCAAGGUUUUUCUUGAACGUUGCCGAGGGUGAUCCCUGGCUUCGGAAUGUUGAAUGGGUGUGUACUGGUUAGAUGUGUUUCUUCCAAAACACCGUAGACGGAACUAGUCCCCGUGACUACUGAAAUCCGUUGGCUGUGGUUAAAGUACAAACUCUGCAGAGUCAAAUCCUUUCGAGUCGUCGUAUCCAUGUUCAAGUAUCGUGAUCAGUGUAUCCAUAUCUAUGUCAAGUCUUCGUGGUUUGUUCUCUUUUCCGGUAAGUGAGCUUGAGUAGUAGACCUGGCUGAACGUUACUCCUGUGGAUGAGCUAACCCUGUUAUUUACCUCAUGCCUGAUUAUUUCUCUUGAUAUGAUUUAAAAUUCAUGAGCUACUAAGUUAUGAAUAUAAGCCCUUUAUGUGAUGUCGCUCAGACGUCCGACUGUGGCAUGUUUGUCUUUUACUUUUAAUAUAAGCCCUUUAUGUGAUGUCGCUCAGACGUCCGACUGUGGCAUGUUUGUCUUUUACUUUUAAUAUAAGCCCUUUAUAUGAUGUCGCUCAGACGUCCGACUGUGGCACGCACUGUCUUUUAUUUUCUAUUAUAAGCCCUUUAUGUGGUGUCGCCCCGAAGCCCGACUGCGGCAUUAUUAUUCUUGCAGUUUCCUCUCGAGGAGUCAUUCAGACCCUCGUUUGGCACCGGUAUUAUUAUUCUUGCAGUUUCCUCUCGAGGAGUCAUUCAGACCCUCGUUUGGCACCCAGUAUUUAUUUUGGGAUUUCGGGAGGACUACCGCCCGACUUCUCGGUUAUUUUCCCAUGCAUGAUGAUCCCUAUGUCUGAACGCACUUGUUAAUCUGUUCAUAUGAUUCAUGUUUACAUUUGUUAUAUCUUAUGUCCGAACUGUCUUGCGAGUACUUUCAUAGUACUCACCUGGCUUGUUGUUUUGGCCAGAUGUUGACGAAGGCGAUCUCUUGGAUGAAGAGUUUGAUAGUGAGUCCGACGCCUAGAGGAGUCCCAGUCAGUCCCGUGCGAUCCUGGAUAUUGGUCACUUGUUUUAUAUACGCUUCCGCCACCCGCAAUAAGUCUCCUCGAGCCUCACUCCGACGCUCGAAGAGCUGUAGUUUUCAGGAGUCAUAUCACCCUCUCCGCUAUGAUAUUUCCACCACCGUUGUUAUUGUGAGUUAGUAGUUAUGCCACCCUAUCCGCCGUUAUGUUUUAUCGGCGUGUUUGUAAUAAAUUGUUGAGCAGUCUCCGCUCAACCUCGUAUUUAAUCAGUACUCCUGGUAUUUUUCUUCUGUGACCAAGAUAUUGUCUACCAGUGAGAAGGAAUUCUUCUUUACUGCUCCUUAAAAGGGAUUGGUCUCUCAAUAAAUAUUUUAUUGAAAAACAGGUCGUGACAGUUACGGGAAUUCGUAUUGGGCCUUUAUGGGCCAUACGGGAAAGGAGAUAAAGACCCCAAAGGGUGGCCGCACCCCUCCCCAUGGGCUAGUCCGAAUUGGACUAGGGAGGGGGGGCGCUCCCUUCCUUCUUUCUCCUACCCCCUUCCCUUCUCCUACUCCCACGAGGAAAGGAGGAGUCCUACUCCCGGUGGGAGUAGGACUCCACCCUUGGGCGCGCCACCUCCCCUUGGCCGGCCCUCUCCCCCUUGCUCCUUUAUAUACGGGGGCGGGGGGGGCACCCCAUGGACACACUUGAUAUACGAUAUUUUAGCCGUGUGCGGUGCCCCCUUCCACCAUAUUACACCUCGAUAAUACCGUUGCGGAGCUUAGGCGAAGCCCUGCGUCGGUGGAACAUCAUCAUCGUCACCACGCCGUCGUGCUGACGAAACUCUCCCUCAACACUCGGCUGGAUCGGAGUUCGAGGGACGUCAUCGAGCUGAACGUGUGUAGAACUCGGAGGUGCCGUGCGUUCGGUACUUGAUCGGUCGGAUCGUGAAGACGUACGACUACAUCAACCGCGUUGUGAUAACGCUUCCGCUGUCGGUCUACGAGGGUACGUGGACAACACUCUCCCCUCUCGUUGCUAUGCAUCACCAUGAUCUUGUGUGUGCGUAGGAUAUUUUUUGAAAUUACUACGUUCCCCAACACCUGAGCCCAUGGGUAGGUCGCCAGUCGCCUGCCAUGGCCGGACGCGCCGGCGAGCGCCGUCGGGGCGGGCGUCUCCCCUCGGCCAGGCGUGCGUCGAGUGGGAGGAAGAAGAAAGCCAGCUAGGUGGGCCCCACCCCUCGCGGGUCCCCCUCGUCAGUGACCCCGCGUUGGCCCCGCCUUGCCACGUCAAUUAAGUGGCGGCGCCUCGGGCUAUUUUCGGUUUACGGAACCCGUAGGCGUAUUUCCUGGAGUGCGCUUUCCCUUAGCCGAAAUCAUAUUCCUCCCCUUCUUUGGGCCAGAAUACGAUUUCCUUUCUGGAAAGCGUAUUUCCGAGAAAGACGUGAUCUGUUUUUCUGCUAGGGCCCCGUUUGUAAUGAUUUCUUUACAGAUAGGUCCCUGAUAGUUAAACGGUCAUAUCUUUUUACCCACAACUCCAAAUGAGGUGAAUCCAAAGCCCACGUCUUUGUUUUGUCGAGCCCGUUCCGUUGAUGUCAUUUUCAUAAUAUUUUCACACAGUGAAAAUGACCUUUUUGCCCUUGCCCGCAAACAGCCCCCUCCGAGAAGGAACUGUUUCCGGCAAAUCUUUUCGCGAUCAUUUCGCACUUCUUCCCGGAGUAUUUGUCGACCCCCAGGCAAGCCAACCUCUUAUCAUGAGCCCCAAACUUGCAUGUUGACUUUGCUUGCACCUUGUGUGUGUGUAGUUGCAGUUGUUUCAUAUCGUUUUCAUCUGCAGUUAUUCCUUUAUGCCUGUCAUGCAUGCUUGCGUUUUCAUGAUAUCUUUUGCCAUGCUAAUUAAACUCUUGUUAUUGAUAAUGCCAUGUCACUACUCUACUUUAUUUGCAUGUCAUCGUUAUACAAUGUUAUGAGGAUUGUAAUGCACCGUUGAUAUGCUAUUACUUGGUAUUGUCAUGUACUUUAUGCUAUAGCUGUGCACUUGAGUAGUUCAAUAUUUUGUUCAUGCAAUCGUAUGCUGCAUGCUCAUUGUUGCAUUCAUGUUCAUGAUGAUGGAGAAGGAAAUAAAAUGACUUAAUAAUAACAAACCUCCUCCGUCAUCGAUGGGAUCGAGUCAUAGUGCCACCAAAUCGAACUUUUUCAGUGCAGCCACAUUUGCCUUUGUGGGAAGGCCUUAAUGCGAGCUAUUGUCGUGACCUCUCGCCGGUGCCUCCCACUAGGGAAGGUUAUGGGUGUGCUUACCCUGAUCAGGUAAGCGGACAUAACCUUGUGUGCUCGUUUUUAGAUUUUUGGUACCAGUCCCCGAGUGGGAGUUGACCACGACGGUGGUUGGGGUGUCUUUGGUAGACACGGGGCCACCCAGGACCAGCCCGUUGGGGAUUGGGUCGGAGUGGCCGGGAGAGCGUCAUGGCAGUAGGUUGGUUUCGUCGGAAUGCCGUUGGUCCACCCGAAUGGGAUGACGAGGCCAUGGGUUCCGUGGUGUGGGUAAAGUGUGCUACCUCUGCAGAGUGUAUAAAGUCUAUCGAUAAGUGUUGGAGACCAAGUGUUGGUCAUGGUUGUGAUCGUCGGAAAGACCACCGUUCGGUUGUGAGGCAACCCGCUGGUAAGAGAGUCCGAGGGACUCGGUGUACGAGUUUGGUUGCAUUGCAUGAGUAAUAUAUUGCAUUUAAUAACCUAAGGCAGAACAGAAGAUGAUUGUAUAUAGUUAACAUGCUAUGUCUGCAUUGGAUAUAAUCGGUAGUUUAUUUUCAGCAUAGUUUCAUGAUGCCAUGCCAUGCGUUGAUUUAUAUGUUAAAUUAUGCCAUGUUUGAGAUGAUAUGAUAGGUUUUGCUAUUACCAUGUUAUAAUCUUGUUUUAUUAUGCCUUGUUAUUGCCAUGUUAGUAGAUGCUAUGAUUUUGUUCAUGCUGAGUUGAUUUUUAUCAUGCCAUGUUUAGUAAUGGAUAUGAGAUAGGUUGUUGCAUACGCUCGGUUCUCGCUUUGUCUUCUGCUUGUUUGGAUGCUAUGCAUUUGGUUGUCUUGCAAGUACAUUCAAUGUACUGACCUGGCGUGUCAUGCCAGUUUUGUAGGUCAUACCCGUAUUGUUCGCUUGAUCCGUCGUGCUAGGCCGUAACCUUGCCAGUCCUGUGAGUAGUGGAGCCCAGCCAGAGUUGAUGAGCCACCAAACCAAGACUUCCGCCGCCUUUUUAUAGACUUCUGUUGUCAUUUAAUAGCCUUAGGGCUAUGUUAGAUAAUUUUAUUCAUCAAUGAUGUACUCUGAUGCACAUGUAUUUGAUGAAUAUUAUUGUACCUGGAAUGCUGUAUUAUGGACCUGUCGUGCGUCAGGUGUUAUCCUGGGCUGACGUGCGAAGGCCCCCUGCUCCAUGCGGAUCGGGGUGCCACAGUUCCCCACCAACGUGGUGGUCUACGACGAGCCGCUUCCACGCGCGGACAGCGGCGGCAGCACCGUCACGGAAGUGCUCAUCAUCAGCCAUGGCGAGCACUCUGGCGGGGGUGGUCAGGAUCCGUUGCAGGCAGCAAUGCAAGACCUAACUGCGCCCAUCCCGGAAGACGCCGACGCCGAGACGCUGGAAGCACGCCGCGUCCAGCUCGUGGAGAGCGCCAACCGGCUGGCCAGCAUGAGACGCCUUUCGGAGGCCUACCAGCGGGAGAUGGACCGUGCUGUCGGAGGCACGCCGGCUCCUGGUGGGCCUAGCCGCAUUGGCCAGAUCCGGCAGCGUGGCGCGGCCAUCGCCAGCAUGUUCGGGACAGAUCGUCCCGUCUAUGCCACGCCUGCAGAGAACAUACAGGCUGCGGAGCUUAGGCGAAGCCCUGCGUCGGUGGAACAUCAUCAUCGUCACCACGCCGUCGUGCUGACGAAACUCUCCCUCAACACUCGGCUGGAUCGGAGUUCGAGGGACGUCAUCGAGCUGAACGUGUGUAGAACUCGGAGGUGCCGUGCGUUCGGUACUUGAUCGGUCGGAUCGUGAAGACGUACGACUACAUCAACCGCGUUGUGAUAACGCUUCCGCUGUCGGUCUACGAGGGUACGUGGACAACACUCUCCCCUCUCGUUGCUAUGCAUCACCAUGAUCUUGUGUGUGCGUAGGAUAUUUUUUGAAAUUACUACGUUCCCCAACACCUGAGCCCAUGGGUAGGUCGCCAGUCGCCUGCCAUGGCCGGACGCGCCGGCGAGCGCCGUCGGGGCGGGCGUCUCCCCUCGGCCAGGCGUGCGUCGAGUGGGAGGAAGAAGAAAGCCAGCUAGGUGGGCCCCACCCCUCGCGGGUCCCCCUCGUCAGUGACCCCGCGUUGGCCCCGCCUUGCCACGUCAAUUAAGUGGCGGCGCCUCGGGCUAUUUUCGGUUUACGGAACCCGUAGGCGUAUUUCCUGGAGUGCGCUUUCCCUUAGCCGAAAUCAUAUUCCUCCCCUUCUUUGGGCCAGAAUACGAUUUCCUUUCUGGAAAGCGUAUUUCCGAGAAAGACGUGAUCUGUUUUUCUGCUAGGGCCCCGUUUGUAAUGAUUUCUUUACAGAUAGGUCCCUGAUAGUUAAACGGUCAUAUCUUUUUACCCACAACUCCAAAUGAGGUGAAUCCAAAGCCCACGUCUUUGUUUUGUCGAGCCCGUUCCGUUGAUGUCAUUUUCAUAAUAUUUUCACACAGUGAAAAUGACCUUUUUGCCCUUGCCCGCAAACAGCCCCCUCCGAGAAGGAACUGUUUCCGGCAAAUCUUUUCGCGAUCAUUUCGCACUUCUUCCCGGAGUAUUUGUCGACCCCCAGGCAAGCCAACCUCUUAUCAUGAGCCCCAAACUUGCAUGUUGACUUUGCUUGCACCUUGUGUGUGUGUAGUUGCAGUUGUUUCAUAUCGUUUUCAUCUGCAGUUAUUCCUUUAUGCCUGUCAUGCAUGCUUGCGUUUUCAUGAUAUCUUUUGCCAUGCUAAUUAAACUCUUGUUAUUGAUAAUGCCAUGUCACUACUCUACUUGAUUUGCAUGUCAUCGUUAUACAAUGUUAUGAGGAUUGUAAUGCACCGUUGAUAUGCUAUUACUUGGUAUUGUCAUGUACUUUAUGCUAUAGCUGUGCACUUGAGUAGUUCAAUAUUUUGUUCAUGCAAUCGUAUGCUGCAUGCUCAUUGUUGCAUUCAUGUUCAUGAUGAUGGAGAAGGAAAUAAAAUGACUUAAUAAUAACAAACCUCCUCCGUCAUCGAUGGGAUCGAGUCAUAGUGCCACCAAAUCGAACUUUUUCAGUGCAGCCACAUUUGCCUUUGUGGGAAGGCCUUAAUGCGAGCUAUUGUCGUGACCUCUCGCCGGUGCCUCCCACUAGGGAAGGUUAUGGGUGUGCUUACCCUGAUCAGGUAAGCGGACAUAACCUUGUGUGCUCGUUUUUAGAUUUUUGGUACCAGUCCCCGAGUGGGAGUUGACCACGACGGUGGUUGGGGUGUCUUUGGUAGACACGGGGCCACCCAGGACCAGCCCGUUGGGGAUUGGGUCGGAGUGGCCGGGAGAGCGUCAUGGCAGUAGGUUGGUUUCGUCGGAAUGCCGUUGGUCCACCCGAAUGGGAUGACGAGGCCAUGGGUUCCGUGGUGUGGGUAAAGUGUGCUACCUCUGCAGAGUGUAUAAAGUCUAUCGAUAAGUGUUGGAGACCAAGUGUUGGUCAUGGUUGUGAUCGUCGGAAAGACCACCGUUCGGUUGUGAGGCAACCCGCUGGUAAGAGAGUCCGAGGGACUCGGUGUACGAGUUUGGUUGCAUUGCAUGAGUAAUAUAUUGCAUUUAAUAACCUAAGGCAGAACAGAAGAUGAUUGUAUAUAGUUAACAUGCUAUGUCUGCAUUGGAUAUAAUCGGUAGUUUAUUUUCAGCAUAGUUUCAUGAUGCCAUGCCAUGCGUUGAUUUAUAUGUUAAAUUAUGCCAUGUUUGAGAUGAUAUGAUAGGUUUUGCUAUUACCAUGUUAUAAUCUUGUUUUAUUAUGCCUUGUUAUUGCCAUGUUAGUAGAUGCUAUGAUUUUGUUCAUGCU
rnacentral:lncRNA from 1 species